rnacentral:rRNA from 1 species
GACGUGCGGGGUGCUAAUACAUGCAAGUCGAGCGGACAGAUGGGAGCUUGCUCCCUGAUGUUAGCGGCGGACGGGUGAGUAACACGUGGGUAACCUGCCUGUAAGACUGGGAUAACUCCGGGAAACCGGGGCUAAUACCGGAUGGUUGUUUGAACCGCAUGGUUCAAACAUAAAAGGUGGCUUCGGCUACCACUUACAGAUGGACCCGCGGCGCAUUAGCUAGUUGGUGAGGUAACGGCUCACCAAGGCAACGAUGCGUAGCCGACCUGAGAGGGUGAUCGGCCACACUGGGACUGAGACACGGCCCAGACUCCUACGGGAGGCAGCAGUAGGGAAUCUUCCGCAAUGGACGAAAGUCUGACGGAGCAACGCCGCGUGAGUGAUGAAGGUUUUCGGAUCGUAAAGCUCUGUUGUUAGGGAAGAACAAGUACCGUUCGAAUAGGGCGGUACCUUGACGGUACCUAACCAGAAAGCCACGGCUAACUACGUGCCAGCAGCCGCGGUAAUACGUAGGUGGCAAGCGUUGUCCGGAAUUAUUGGGCGUAAAGGGCUCGCAGGCGGUUUCUUAAGUCUGAUGUGAAAGCCCCCGGCUCAACCGGGGAGGGUCAUUGGAAACUGGGGAACUUGAGUGCAGAAGAGGAGAGUGGAAUUCCACGUGUAGCGGUGAAAUGCGUAGAGAUGUGGAGGAACACCAGUGGCGAAGGCGACUCUCUGGUCUGUAACUGACGCUGAGGAGCGAAAGCGUGGGGAGCGAACAGGAUUAGAACCUGG